CCUACGGGAGGCAGCAGUGAGGAAUAUUGGUCAAUGGGCGAGAGCCUGAACCAGCCAAGUCGCGUGAGGGAGUACUGCCCUAUGGGUUGUAAACCUCUUUUGUCGGGGAGCAAAAGCCGGACGUUUCCGGCUGUGAGAGUACCCGAAGAAAAAACAUCGGCUAACUCCGGGCCAGCAGCCGCGGUAAUACGGGGGAUGCGAGCGUUAUCCGGGUUUAUUGGGUUUAAAGGGUGCGCAGGCGGAUUUUUAAGUCAGCGGUAAAAUCGUGGGGCUCAACCCCAUCCAGCCGUUGAAACUGGGGAUCUAGAGUGUGCGAGAGGUAUGCGGAAUGCGUGGUGUAGCGGUGAAAUGCAUAGAUAUCACGCAGAACCCCGAUUGCGAAGGCAGCAUACCGGUGCACAACUGACGCUGAGGCACGAAAGCGUGGGUAUCGAACAGGAUUAGAUACCCUUGUAGUC
rnacentral:rRNA from 1 species